rnacentral:rRNA from 1 species
CCCGAAGUGGAAAGAGUUAGCUUAUCUGUGGUUAGCGUUUUAAAGUUAUCACUAAGGUAGGUUAGAGGUGAUAUGCUAUUCAAUUUCCGUAUAUCUGGUUUAAUUUAUUUAAAUUUAAUUUAUAUGUAGAUUUUAAGAUCUAUUUAAAUAGGAUAGGGGGGUAAGCUCUCUAUAUUAAAUUGUGGUUUUAUGGCUACAGGAGGUUUAAUAAUCUUUAUUGACUUUAAUAAAAUUUUGUUAAUUUAAGGGGGUUAAACUAAAAAUUUCUAUAGGUAGGAGAUAAUAAAUAUAUUAGUAAUUAGUAAAUAUACUUGAUAGAUAAAUUUAUUAUAAGUGUAAUUUAAGGGAGACUUUAAAAGAACUCGGCAAUACUAACUUCGCAUGUUUACCAAAAACAUCUCUUGAGGUAAUUUCAAGUAACCUCUGCCCUAUGAAUAGUUUAAAUGGCCGCAGUACUUUGACUGUGCAAAGGUAGCAUAAUCACUUGUCUCUUAAUUGGGGGCUGGAAUGAAGGAGGCGACGAAAUUUGGGCUAUUGUUCUAUACUUUAAAAUUAACAUAAAGGUCAAAAGGCCUUUAUACACCAGAGGGACGAUAAGACCCUAUAAAACUUUACUAUAGGGAGAGUUGAAUAGGCAAAAUUUGAGCCUAUAGUUUGGCUGGGGCGGUUUAUAUAAAAACAAUUGAAUUUUUAAUAUUUUAAAUAGAAUAUGAGAGCUCUAAUAGGAAAUGGAUAAGUUACUUUAGGGAUAACAGCAUAAUUCUCCCAGAGAGUCCUAAUUGGCGGGAGAGCUUAUGACCUCGAUGUUGAAUUGGGAUAUCUAAUAUAAGUAGAAAUAUAUUAAGAUAGUCUGUUCGACUAUUAAAUUCCCACAUGAUUUGAGUUCAGACCGGCGUGAGCCAGGUUGGUUUCUAUCUUUUGGACUUUAGAGAUUUAAAUUGUACGAAAGGACCUUUAUAU